UACGUAGGGUGCGAGCGUUGCCCGGAUUUACUGGGCGUAAAGAGCGCGCAGGCGGUCGUUCAAGUCGAGUGUGAAAGCCCCCGGCUCAACUGGGGAGGGUCAUUCGAUACUGAUCGACUCGAAGGCAGGAGAGGGUAGUGGAAUUCCCGGUGUAGUGGUGAAAUGCGUAGAUAUCGGGAGGAACACCAGUGGCGAAGGCGACUACCUGGCCUGUUCUUGACGCUGAGGCGCGAAAGCUAGGGGAGCAAACGGG
rnacentral:rRNA from 1 species